rnacentral:lncRNA from 10 species
CCUCCUUCCCCUCACCAUCUCGCUUUCCCCUAAAGGGAGGUGUUUCCUCGAAGCAGGGAAAAGUCAAGGGGGCAGAGACCUCACCAGCCACCGGGAGGCGGCACUCGUGUAAACCAGACCCCUUGUCCUCAUGACCAGACAGAAGAAGAAAGUAAAGAGGAAUGGACUUGGCUCAAGGAUGUGGAUACAGGCACAACCAUUUGCCAGUCUGGGAAGGAGUGGAGUGUCCAGGUGGGCAUAGGGCUCUCUGAUCCCUCAUGUGAGUUGUGUGUGUGUGCUGGGCACACACAGAGGCCAGCACCAGGGGGCACUGUCCUCUCCCUUCCCCCUCACCCAUGCAGGGGUGAACUAUUUCUUUCACACCAUCUCCUGAUCCUCCCCCUCACCUCCCAUCCACAGUGUGCUUUUGCUGUCUGUGGGGAGAAGGGAGAGUUCGGCUCCUGCAACACCCACAAGGCCAAGGGCCCCAUGAAAGGGGAGGGGCAAGAUCAUUAUUCAGUCAGCCUGGCCACCUUCUCACCUCUGGGCUGGAGGCCUGGCAUGGGCAUCCCUUCAAAGUGACAUGGUCCCCUGCCUCUCGCCUCAUUGGCUGCCUCCAGCUGCUCUACCCCAGGGGACUUGGCUCCACUGUUGCAUUGACCUUUGAGGCUCCAAAUGAGGUUUCAUCUCAGUCUCCCCACCAAGAAGUCCUGCAGGCCUCUUGCUCAAGGGAGGAACGGGUAGAAGGACCAGAGCCGUUUCUUCCCACCCCCUCUCUGCCCUGGCCCAUAAGGCCAGAAGAAGAAAAGCAGGAAGACAGGACAGGUGAGAGGAGGUGCGGAGAGGUAGCCUUUCCUCCCUGUACUCUUCCACCUCAGAUCCCUCAACGCAGGCUGUGGCCUGGGGACAUGUGUGUUCUCACGCCUGGACCCACCCUCAUCCCUCCUGCCUGGAGCCUUCUGCCACCCACUCCCCACCCGCAGUGGGUCUCUCUGUUCAUCUCUCUGCCUCUGUUCCCAAGGCCAGGCCAAGCUCCCAGAUCCCUCUAGGGAUCUGCUGUGGGGAACAUCCAGGGGACAGGAUCCCUCAGUUCUUCUUUGGAAAUGUGUCCGCAGGAAGUUCUUCCUAAAGUUUAACCGAAGGUUCCUUCUACUGCAGCCAGUGCCCAGCACCUCCCAGGCUGGAAGUUGGGUCUUCUUCCCACUCCAGCCAAUGCUCUCCUUCAGGUGAAGCUGGAUCAGGUGGAGAAACAACCCAGCUCCAAAAAAGAAAACAAAAGUCUUUGUUCAUCCCCUACCCUCCCUGCCCACCCCUGUCCCCAGCCACCACAGAAACCCACAGGGCAUUGGAGCCUUCAUCCCAAAAUGAGUCAGGGCCCUUCAGAGGGUUGAACUGGGGUGCAAGAAUUUCCCUUCAUGCCAAGCAAGGGUUCUAUCUAAUAGCAAUCUCCACCCAGCCUCCUUGGGCCAAGGAGCAGGUCAGCCUCCCCAUUGGGAGGGGUCCAACCACCUGUGGAAGCUCGGCUGGCCUGGAUGCGCCUUUCGCCCUGGCCUCCUCUAACACCAAAUUUCACUCCCCCUGCUUGACACUAAGGGAGGAUCUGCGCAGAGUGCCUAAGUGUGGAGUUGGGUGCAAGAAGUACUCAGGCCUGCUGAACCGGGCUCCGUGCCUGCCUCACAGUCUGCCCUCCACACCCACCUUCCAAGGAAGCAACGGAAAUAGAAACUUCCCCCUAGGUCUGAGGCCCCAGGGACCCUCACAGGGUACCAAGAGGCCAGCUCCAAAUCUCCUGGCUCGUUCUUUCCACCCUCACACUCAAGGGAACAAGAAGACUUUCCCAGAGAGGAAGGAAGUGCUUAGGUGUCCCAGGGCCAAAGAAGAUGCCUAGGAGGGCAGCAGUAGCCCAGCUGACCCCAUGGAGAGCCUGCUCCCCCACCCCUGCCCCCUGCGCUGCAUAUAUUUUCUCCCCCUAAAAUAGCAUCUCUGGAGGGAGGAGUGGGGGAGUUCUCAGUUCACUGUUCUCUCCUUCCCACAGUGCGUUCACAGCUCUCUCACUGUCUCUCACGACCUGGUUUCCCUGCCAGGCCCUUCUGCUCUGCCUCCACCUCGCCCUGCCAGGUGCCAGGACCUCUUGGCCAGAGAGGGGGCCUGCUCUCCAUGGCCCAUCAUUUCCCACUUCCAAGCCGUGACUGUCACACCAUUCCCUCCCCUCUUUGGGACAGAAGUAAAUUCAAUCCACAC